CAGCCGCCACGGUAAUACCAGCAGCCCAAGUGGUGGUCGCGAUUAUUGGGCCUAAAGCGCUCGUAGCCGGGCCGGUAAGUCCCUUGCGAAAUCGGACGGCCUAACCGUUCGGCGUGCAAGGGAUACUGUCGGUCUUGAGGCCGGGAGACGUCCGAGGUACUCCGGGGGUAGCGGUGAAAUGUUCUGAUCCUCGGGGGACCACCGGUGGCGAAGGCGUUCGACGAGAACGGGCCUGACGGUGAGGGGCGAAGGCUAGGGGAGCAAACGGGAUUAGAUACCCCCGUAGUCCCUGUCUCUUAUA
rnacentral:rRNA from 1 species